AAUGAGUGUUAUACAAGUCUUCUAAAUUUGUUAUAGGAUUUUCCUGCUCAUUU
rnacentral:tRNA from 1 species